rnacentral:pre_miRNA from 1 species
NNNNNGUUUUCCGUGUCCAACAUUUGACUGUCCGUCUUAUUUGAAAAUUUUAUAAAAAAAUUAAAAAGAUAAGUCACGUAUAAAAUAUUAAUCAUGUUUUAUCAUCUAACAACAAUGAAAAUAGUAAUUAUGAAAAAAUUUCAUAUAAAACGGACAGUCAAACGUUGGCACGGGAACCCACGGUUUGCUUUUUU